GCAUUUCACUGUGAGGUCUACCUACACCUGUUGUAUUCAGCAUUUCACUGUAAGGUCUACUACACCUGUUGUAUUCAGCAUUUCACUGUAAGGUCUACCUACACCUGUUGUAUUCAGCAUUUCACUGUAAGGUCUACCUACACCUGUUGUAUUCAGCAUUUCACUGUAAGGUCUACUACACCUGCUGUAUUCAGCAUUUCACUGUAAGGUCUACUACACCUGUUGUAUUCAGCAUUUCACUGUAAGGUCUACUACACCUGUUGUAUUCAGCAUUUCACUGUAAGGUCUACCUACACCUGUUGUAUUCAGCAUUUCACUGUAAGGUCUACCUACACCUGUUGUAUUCAGCAUUUCACUGUAAGGUCUACUACACCUGUUGUAUUCAGCAUUUCACUGUAAGGUCUACUACACCUGUUGUAUUCAGCAUUUCACUGUAAGGUCUACCUACACCUGUUGUAUUCAGCAUUUCACUGUAAGGUCUACUACACCUGUUGUAUUCAGCAUUUCACUGUAAGGUCUACCUACACCUGUUGUAUUCAGCAUUUCACUGUAAGGUCU
ensembl:lncRNA